UACGAAGGGGGCGAGCGUUGUUCGGAGUUACUGGGCGUAAAGGGCGCGUAGGCGGCGCUCCAAGUUAGGCGUGAAAGCCCCGGGCUCAACCUGGGAAUAGCGCUUAAGACUGGAGUGCUCGAGUGCGGAAGAGGUGAGUGGAAUUCCCAGUGUAGAGGUGAAAUUCGUAGAUAUUGGGAAGAACACCGAUGGCGAAGGCAGCCUUCUGGGCCAACACUGACGCUCAUGCACGAAAGCGUGGGGAGCAAACAGG
rnacentral:rRNA from 1 species